AUGAUGGAGAAGAAAUUGAUGAUGGAGGGGAAAGAGAUGGAGAAGAAACAGAUGAUGGAGAAGAAAUGGAUGAUGGAGAAAUGGAUGAUGGAGGAGAAAGAGAUGAUGGAGAAGAAAUUGAUGAUGGAGGAGAAAUUGUUGACGGAAGAGAAAUUGAUGGAGAAGAAACAGAUGAUGGAGGGGAUAGAGAUGAUGGAGGAGAAACUGAUGAUGGAGAAAUGGAUGAUGGAGAAAUGGAUGAUGGAGGGGAAAUGGAUGAUGGAGGAGAAAUGGAUGAUGGAGGAGAAAUGGAUGAUGGAGGAGAGAUGGAUGAUGGAGGAGAAAUUGAUGAUGGAGAAAUGGAAGAUGGAGGAGAAAUGCUUCAAGAAGGGAGCAGGGGAUGUCCCAAAAAGUGGUCCCAUCCCCUUGGGGUCGUUACGAACCUUGCAGAGGGGGGUCCUGGGAGGAAAAUGGCACGAAAAGAAAAGAGACACCUGCCUGGAGAUCAUCUCUGCCGGGACUCGAACCCGGAACCUCUGGAUUAGAAGUCCAGCGCGCUCGUCCAUUGCGCCACAGAGACCUCACCGUGAGGGGAGCGGCGGCGGCUCCGGAACUGAGGAAUCCCCACCUCCGGAGCCCCCUCCCGCUCCCAGGCGGGCUGGAAUUAUCCCAGGGAUGAUCCAUUUCUGGCCCGAUGCAGCAAGAAGCCGCCGGUACCCGCCUCCCCAGCAACGGUUUCCGCAGCAUCCCCGAGCACAGCGAAAUCCCGGAGCAGAAUCCGUCGCUGCGUCUCCCUCUCAGCAUCCGCACGAGGCAAGGGAUAAAGGUGGGAAGAGGAUUUAGAGGAAAAAAAAGGGAGGAAAAAAAAAAAAAAGCACCCAGGAGCUGAGGUUUGAGCGUGGGUUUCCUUUCAGCGAGACGUCAGGCACGGGG
rnacentral:tRNA from 1 species